rnacentral:lncRNA from 1 species
CGGGAAUUCUAAACAUGACAUAAAAAAAAUUGAGCGAUUUUGAGUUUAUUAGUACAAUAAAAAAUUCGGGAAAAUUUUCCUGAUUUUUUUUUUUUUAUUGAUUUUUCUACUGUUAUUGGGGACUUUGUCCCCAUAUCAAAGUGUUUAAUAUUGAGGGUAUUGUGUCUGUUCCACUGUCUGUUUGCCCUCUUAAUUUACAUGUUUGCCCUGGGUCCCUUCACCCUGAGACUGGGUUCAUUUGACAAUAUAGUAUUACAAUAUAGUACAUGUAUGUUCUCCCUGGGUUUGUUUUCCCAAAUUUUAUUAAAAAUAUUAAUAUGGAUUGUAUCAAAGUUUUCAAACUUAUUCAAAUAUGAAGAAUAGAUGGUAUAAAUUCUUGAAAUUCAUGGUAAUAUUUUAAAUAGAAGCAAAUAAAGG